rnacentral:rRNA from 1 species
CCGUAAACGAUGUCGACUUGGAGGUUGUGCCCUUGAGGCGUGGCUUCCGGAGCUAACGCGUUAAGUCGACCGCCUGGGGAGUACGGCCGCAAGGUUAAAACUCAAAUGAAUUGACGGGGGCCCGCACAAGCGGUGGAGCAUGUGGUUUAAUUCGAUGCAACGCGAAGAACCUUACCUGGUCUUGACAUCCACGGAAGUUUUCAGAGAUGAGAAUGUGCCUUCGGGAACCGUGAGACAGGUGCUGCAUGGCUGUCGUCAGCUCGUGUUGUGAAAUGUUGGGUUAAGUCCCGCAACGAGCGCAACCCUUAUCCUUUGUUGCCAGCGGUCCGGCCGGGAACUCAAAGGAGACUGCCAGUGAUAAACUGGAGGAAGGUGGGGAUGACGUCAAGUCAUCAUGGCCCUUACGACCAGGGCUACACACGUGCUACAAUGGCGCAUACAAAGAGAAGCGACCUCGCGAGAGCAAGCGGACCUCAUAAAGUGCGUCGUAGUCCGGAUUGGAGUCUGCAACUCGACUCCAUGAAGUCGGAAUCGCUAGUAAUCGUGGAUCAGAAUGCCACGGUGAAUACGUUCCCGGGCCUUGUACACACCGCCCGUCACACCAUGGGAGUGGGUUGCAAAAGAAGUAGGUAGCUUAACCUUCGGGAGGGCGCUUACCACUUUGUGAUUCAUGACUGGGGUGAAGUCGUAACAAGGUAACCGUAGGGGAACCUGCGGUUG